AUAUAUCAAUCUGCCCAGAGUAACAACAACCACGAUUUUUGGUUUGGAUUGUGAUACCGAGUAUAGUGUACAAGUUCGAGCAUGUUACCAUGGCAACACAAAUUGCAGCGUGUACAGCAAGAUUAGAGUUAUCACGGUCCACCAUGUCGAUAUUGAUCGCCAAACAGGUGAUGUUAACUAUCGUCUUCCUCUGUGGAUCAGUCUUGGCAUUGGCGUGCCAUUAAUCCUUGUACUUUUCAUAGUGUCUCUGUAUUGUGUUUGCAGGAAAAAAAAGAAGUCCCUCGAGCCGCUCACAGAGAAUGACAUCGACCGGUAUUAUAAUCCAGAUGGUAAAGAGUUGUCUGAAGUGGGAGAAUAUUGGAGGCUAGAGGAUGAUGCGGAAAACAAAUCCGAACAAGCUAGUUCCUAGGCUCACAAGAAACAAGACUGGAUUAUAAGGAGUAAGACUACGGUAUAUCUAUAUGGUUUCAAGCGAGCCUUUUACAAAAACAUUGGGAACGGCAAACUAAAAUGGGAAGAACUGGGCAAGAAAUCCUUGAUAUCGAAGUGGCAUUCAACAACAGACCGCUGACGUACUUAGAAGAUGAUGUCGAACUAGCCAUCCUCACCCCUAACACCAUUUUGAACAUCAACCCAAGCGUUUUACCCAAGAUGAAAUCUCACCUCAUCGACGAAAAGAACUUACGGAAACGAGCCAAAUUUCUCAAGAAGUGCAAAGAAACCAUGUGGAGGCGGUGGUCAAGAGAAUACAUUAGGGGUUUACGUGAACGCCAUCGAUAGGUAAGCCAGAAGAAUGCCUUACAUUCUAAGACCAGAGACGGGACG